rnacentral:rRNA from 1 species
CAGCCGCCACGGGAAUACGAAGGGGGCUAGCGUUGCUCGGAAUUACUGGGCGUAAAGGGCGCGUAGGCGGAUAGUUUAGUCAGAGGUAAAAGCCCAGGGCUCAACCUUGGAACUGCCUUUGAUACUGGCUAUCUUGAGUUCGGGAGAGGUGAGUGGAAUGCCGAGUGUAGAGGUGAAAUUCGUAGAUAUUCGGCGGAACACCAGUGGCGAAGGCGACUCACUGGCCCGAUACUGACGCUGAGGCACGAAAGCGUGGGGAGCAAACAGGAUUAGAUACCCCCGUAGUCCCUGUCUCUUAUAC